GAUGAAGAACGUAGCGAAAUGCGAUAAGUAGUGUGAAUUGCAGAAUUCAGUGAAUCAUCGAAUCUUUGAACGCACAUUGCGCCCUUUGGUAUUCCUUAGGGCAUGCCUGUUCGAGCGUCAUUUAAACCUUCAAGCUCAGCUUGGUGAUGGGUGACUGUCCUCCCCUCGCGGGGGGACUCGCCUCAAAAACAUUGGCGGCCGGUACAUUGGCUUCGAGCGCAGCAGAAACGCGGUCUCGAGCCCGGUGGAUCGGCUCCCAUAAGUCUAUUCUUUUAUUUUGACCUCGGAUCAGGUAGGGAUACCCGCUGAACUUAAGCAUAUCAAUAAGCGGAGGA
rnacentral:misc_RNA from 1 species